rnacentral:rRNA from 1 species
CUCCUACGGGAGGCAGCAGUGGGGAAUAUUGCACAAUGGGGGAAACCCUGAUGCAGCGACGCCGCGUGAGUGAAGAAGUAAUUCGUUACGUAAAGCUCUAUCAGCAGGGAAGAAAAUGACGGUACUUGAGUAAGAAGCCCCGGCUAACUACGUGCCAGCAGCCGCGGUAACACGUAGGGGGCAAGCGUUAUCCGGAUUUACUGGGUGUAAAGGGAGCGUAGACGGUACGCCAAGUCUGAAGUGAAAUGCCGCAGCUUAACUGCGGAACUGCUUUGGAAACUGGCGGGCUGGAGUGCGGGAGGGGG